rnacentral:rRNA from 1 species
GAUCAUGGCUCAGGAUGAACGCUAGCUACAGGCUUAACACAUGCAAGUCGAGGGGCAGCAUGAACUUAGCUUGCUAAGUUUGAUGGCGACCGGCGCACGGGUGAGUAACACGUAUCCAACCUGCCGAUGACUCGGGGAUAGCCUUUCGUAAGAAAGAUUAAUACCCGACUGGCAUAGUUCUUUCCGCAUGGUAGGAACUAUUAAAGAAUUUCGGUUCAUCGAUGGGGAGUGCGUUCCAUUAGG